GAUGAACGCUGGCGGCGUGCCUAACACAUGCAAGUCGAGCGAUCUUCUUCGGAAGAGAGCGGCGGACGGGUGAGUAACGCGUGGGUAACCUGCCUCAUACACAUGGAUAACAUACCGAAAGGUAUGCUAAUACAAGAUGAUAUAAGAGAUUCGCAUGGAUUUCUUAUCAAAGCUCCGGCGGUAUGAGAUGGACCCGCGUCUGAUUAGCUAGUUGGUAAGGUAACGGCUUACCAAGGCGACGAUCAGUAGCCGACCUGAGAGGGUGAUCGGCCACAUUGGAACUGAGACACGGUCCAAACUCCUACGGGAGGCAGCAGUGGGGAAUAUUGCACAAUGGGCGAAAGCCUGAUGCAGCAACGCCGCGUGAGCGAUGAAGGCCUUCGGGUCGUAAAGCUCUGUCCUCAAGGAAGAUAAUGACGGUACUUGAGGAGGAAGCCCCGGCUAACUACGUGCCAGCAGCCGCGGUAAUACGUAGGGGGCUAGCGUUAUCCGGAUUUACUGGGCGUAAGGGUGCGUAGGUGGUUUCUUAAGUCAGGAGUGAAAGGCUACGGCUCAACCGUAGUAAGCUCUUGAAACUGGGAAACUUGAGUGCAGGAGAGGAAAGUGGAAUUCCUAGUGUAGCGGUGAAA
rnacentral:rRNA from 1 species